UAGGGAAUCUUCCACAAUGGACGCAAGUCUGAUGGAGCAACGCCGCGUGAGUGAAGAAGGUUUUCGGAUCGUAAAGCUCUGUUGUUGGUGAAGAAGGAUAGAGGUAGUAACUGGCCUUUAUUUGACGGUAAUCAACCAGAAAGUCACGGCUAACUACUUGCCAGCAGCCGCGGUAAUACGUAGGUGGCAAGCGUUGUCCGGAUUUAUUGGGCGUAAAGCGAGCGCAGGCGGAAGAAUAAGUCUGAUGUGAAAGCCCUCGGCUUAACCGAGGAACUGCAUCGGAAACUGUUUUUCUUGAGUGCAGAAGAGGAGAGUGGAAUUCCAUGUGUAGCGGUGGAAUGCGUAGAUAUAUGGAAGAACACCAGUGGCGAAGGCGACUCUCUGGUCUGCAACUGACGCUGAGGCUCGAAAGCAUGGGUAGCGAACAGG
rnacentral:rRNA from 1 species